AACGAACGCUGGCGGCAGGCCUAACACAUGCAAGUCGAGCGCUCUCUUCGGAGGGAGCGGCGGACGGGUGAGUAACGCGUGGGAAUAUACCCUUCUCUACGGAAUAGCCUCGGGAAACUGAGAGUAAUACCGUAUACGCCCUUCGGGGGAAAGAUUUAUCGGAGAAGGAUUAGCCCGCGUUAGAUUAGAUAGUUGGUGGGGUAAUGGCCUACCAAGUCUACGAUCUAUAGCUGGUUUUAGAGGACGAUCAGCCACACUGGGACUGAGACACGGCCCAG
rnacentral:rRNA from 1 species